CUACGGGUGGCUCCAGUGGGGAAUAUUGCACAAUGGGCGAAAGCCUGAUGCAGCAACGCCGCGUGGAGGAUGACACAUUUCGGUGCGUAAACUCCUUUUAUAUAAGAAGAUAAUGACGGUAUUAUAUGAAUAAGCACCGGCUAACUCCGUGCCAGCAGCCGCGGUAAUACGGGGGGUGCAAGCGUUACUCGGAAUCACUGGGCGUAAAGAGCAUGUAGGCGGGAUGACAAGUUGGAAGCGAAAUCCUAUGGCUUAACCAUAGAACUGCUUCCAAAACUGUCUUCCUAGAGUAUGGGAGAGGUAGAUGGAAUUUCUGGUGUAGGGGUAAAAUCCGUAGAGAUCAGAAGGAAUACCGAUUGCGAAGGCGAUCUACUGGAACAUUACUGACGCUCAGAUGCGAAAGCGUGGGGAGCAAACAGGAUUAGAUACCCGCGUAGUC
rnacentral:rRNA from 1 species